ensembl:lncRNA LINC01746 long intergenic non-protein coding RNA 1746
AGAGGGGUUGUGGCUUUGAGGACAAUUGUUCAAGUGAGAAGAGGGCUGUGCAGAUCUCAAGAUGACAUCGGGAUCCUGAUGUGAAGUUUUCCUGCUUCUGGAGGAGGGAAGCAGAGGGCUGUUUUGCCUCCUCUGGGCCAGGGAUGCAUGGAAUGGCAGAGGUCGGGGUCCCUGGAAGCAGAUCCUGAGACAAAGUCCCCUGUGCAAGAGAUUUAUUUCAAAGGUGUGCCCAGCUCUUGGUGGCCCAGGGUGGGCCUUGGCCUUCAGCCUGCUGACCCAGGACCCUCACUCCUUCCAUAGUGGGGACCAGUGCCUGUCUGAGCCCCAUCAUGAUCCCACUGGGAGGUACUUGUUAUAACUGGUUAGAGGAAUGAAUGAUACAAAGAGAAAGGAUUUGCCAUUUCAAUCCCAGCCAUCUCUGCUUGACAUACCUUGUGACCCUGCGCAAGUCACCUCAUCUUUUGAGUUUCUCUUUCUCCAUCUGUGAAACUGACUGGAGAUCAGCAAAGACAUUCCAUGGGAACCUGCUUUGUAACCCAUGAAGUGCCUUGUUGGUACCUGUGACUACCAGAUCAUUCCAUUGUGUAAGGAUAUCGGAGGAUGCAAGUCCCCAAGACCUCCCCGACACUGCUGGUGGAGUGCAAAUUGAUGCAACCACAUUGGAAAACAAUUUGGCAGUAUCUCAUGGAGGUGAAUAUUCAGCAAUUCCACUCCCAGAUGCCUGUCUGGAGACAACCUCAUCAAGUCUGGUCUCAGAUGUGUGUUCUCUCUGAUGGGAGACAGCUGGAGCGGCUGUCAGGCCUCCCUGGCAAUAGCGGUGCCUGCGGCAGCACCUGUCAGCAGCACCUUAACGCUGUCCCAGUGAUGGCUGCUGCGAGUGGGAAGGUGACAGGAGGCAGUUGUUCUUGGGGUCUGGGAGGCUCUUUGCUGCACUGCUCCUUGACCCCUCUACAUGGAAGGGUGAGCCCCAGUUCCUGUACAUCUUCUGGAAUUGCAGACCUCCUCCCCACGUCACCUCCAGUGGAUUUCCUCGCUGGUCUUGACUCUGGCUGAUGCCACCCACACGCCUCCACUCCAGCUGUUUUCCUAAGACAGCGUGUGAUGCCAUGCCGCCCUGUGUUUCCUGGUCCCUCUGCCUCAAAGACUUUGGUUUCCCA